rnacentral:rRNA from 1 species
UACGUAGGGUGCAAGCGUUGUCCGGAAUUAUUGGGCGUAAAGAGCUCGUAGGCGGUUCGUCGCGUCGGCUGUGAAAUCCCGAGGCUCAACCUCGGGUCUGCAGUCGAUACGGGCGGACUGGAGUACUGCAGGGGAGACUGGAAUUCCUGGUGUAGCGGUGAAAUGCGCAGAUAUCAGGAGGAACACCGGUGGCGAAGGCGGGUCUCUGGGCAGUUACUGACGCUGGAGGAGCGAAAGCGUGGGGAGCGAACAGG